rnacentral:rRNA from 1 species
UACGUAGGGGGCAAGCGUUGUCCGGAUUUAUUGGGCGUAAAGAGCGUGUAGGCGGCUUUGCAGGUCCGCUGUGAAAACUCGAGGCUCAACCUCGAGCUGUCGGUGGAAACCGUAAAGCUAGAGUCCGGAAGAGGAGAGUGGAAUUCCGAGUGUAGAGGUGAAAUUCGUAGAUAUUCGGAAGAACACCAGUGGCGAAGGCGACUUACUGGACACAUAUUGACGCUGAGGUGCGAAAGCGUGGGGAGCAAACAGG